rnacentral:rRNA from 1 species
GAUGAACGCUAGCGGCAGGCCUAAUACAUGCAAGUCGAACGGGAUCUGAGGGUAGCUUGCUACCCGGUUUGAGAGUGGCGCACGGGUGCGUAACGCGUGAGCAACCUACCCAUAUCAGGGGGAUAGCCCGAAGAAAUUCGGAUUAACACCGCAUAACAAUACGUUAACACAUGUUAAUGUAUUUAAAUAUUUAUAGGAUAUGGAUGGGCUCGCGUGACAUUAGCUAGUUGGUAAGGUAACGGCUUACCAAGGCGACGAUGUCUAGGGGCUCUGAGAGGAGAAUCCCCCACACUGGUACUGAGACACGGACCAGACUCCUACGGGAGGCAGCAGUAAGGAAUAUUGGUCAAUGGGCGCAAGCCUGAACCAGCCAUGCCGCGUGCAGGAUGACUGCCCUAUGGGUUGUAAACUGCUUUUGUUAGGGAAUAAACCUACUUAUGUAUAAGUAGCUGAAUGUACCUAAAGAAUAAGGAUCGGCUAACUCCGUGCCAGCAGCCGCCGUAA